GCUUAUAUCUUUAGGUUACUGCUCUGAAGGAAAAAAAAAAAAGCUGAGCACGAGCUUGCAGGGAGGACAGGAAUAGAAGGAAGGGGGGAACGGCAAAGGAGGGCAGAGACAGAGCGAUGCAGGAUCCCGUUUUGUAGUGGAAGGCUGUCUGUGCGUGUGUGUCUUUCUAAAAGCCAAAGGGCUUUUUGCCUAGCUGAGUACCAUGGCCCUUCCUUUUCCACAAGGUUUAUGGGGUGCUGUGAUGGUCGUAACAUGCAGUUACAGUGGAGCCCUUGAAACAGGUUGGACUGAUGGGCUGAAGAAGAGUUUUCACCAGCCUGUAAAGCCCUUGGCUCUGGUGGCAGAAAGGGAACAUGUGGGCAGAGGGGACCAUGAGGAGAAUGGGCUGCUUUGUUUCUGCUCUAACAGAUGUGGAUUUGAGGUUAACAUUCAGCUGGAGCCAGAACUUCCAGAAGGAUGCAAUAGUUCUUAGAAGUUCUAAUAGUUCUAUAGAAGACCUGUGUUCCUCCAGCUGUGAGCCAUGGGCAGAGCUGAGAUGUGUUCUGCUUGUGUUUCUGCAACAGUGACAUGCUCAGGUGCCCGAAUUUGUUAAUCUACAUCUUCAGAUCUAUGAUCUUCUAUGGCAGGGACCAUCCCGAGUGCAAUUACAGGGAAACAGAGGGAUAAAGUGAAUGACCAGGAUGAGAAGUACCCAGAAUGCAAAGUACAGAAGAAGAAAGGAACAUUACCAGUGUGCCCAGUUAUAUGGCAGAUUCAGCUAAAAUUCAAAACCAUUUUAUAACGCUCUGAAA